GACGAACGCUGGCGGCGUGCUUAACACAUGCAAGUCGAACGGAAAGGCCCUGCUUUUGUGGGGUGCUCGAGUGGCGAAAGGGUGAGUAACACGUGAGUAACCUGCCCUUGACUUUGGGAUAACUUCAGGAAACUGGGGCUAAUACCGGAUAGGAGCUCCUGCUGCAUGGUGGGGGUUGGAAAGUUUCGGCGGGUGGGGAUGGACUCGCGGCUUAUCAGCUUGUUGGUGGGGUAGUGGCUUACCAAGGCUUUGACGGGUAGCCGGCCUGAGAGGGUGACCGGCCACAUUGGGACUGAGAUACGGCCCAGACUCCAACGGGAGGCAGCAGUGGGGAAUAUUGCACAAUGGGCGGAAGCCUGAUGCAGCAACGCCGCGUGCGGGAUGACGGCCUUCGGGUUGUAAACCGCUUUCGCCUGUGACGAAGCGUGAGUGACGGUAAUGGGUAAAGAAGCACCGGCUAACUACGUG
rnacentral:rRNA from 1 species